UACGAAGGACCCGAGCGUUAUCCGGAUUUAUUGGGUUUAAAGGGUGCGUAGGCGGACUAAUAAGUCAGUGGUGAAAGCCCAUCGCUUAACGGUGGAAUUGCCAUUGAUACUGUUAGACUUGAGUAUGGUUGAGGUGGGCGGAAUGUGUCAUGUAGCGGUGAAAUGCUUAGAUAUGACCCAGAACACCAAUUGCGAAGGCAGCUCGCUAAGCCAUAACUGACGCUGAGGCACGAAAGCGUGGGGAGCAAACAGG
rnacentral:rRNA from 1 species